UUUAGUUUCAGGCACUAUUGUCAGCCGUGUGAUAAAUUCUUCAAAACAAGUUGUAGUUAUAACAAACAUAUACGUAUUUCAUCAAGACAUAUAGAUCCACAAUUAUUACGUUAUUGCUGUCCCACUUGCGGCAAAGGAUUUUUAACAUGUGAAGAAAGAGAUAGACAUAAUGAGAUGAUACAUCUUCAAAAGAACAGACUACAAUGUACAAGAUGUCCGAGAAAGUAUUGCAGUGUUCGUGCAUUGCGGUGUCAUAUGAGACGCCAUAUUAGUGGUAUCACAAAACGUGACUAUAUGUGUGAAAUAUGUGGCAUUGGUUUCAAAACUAGUCAAGUGUUAAAGGGACAUCAAAAAGUACACGAAAAAGUGAAAUCUCAAGAAAAAUAGUUUUAAUAUAAGUUGAAAAUAAAUAAAAUUUACUAA